rnacentral:rRNA from 1 species
UUUCGAAUCAUUCACAAUGGGCGAAAGCCUGAUGGUGCGACGCCGCGUGGGGGAUGAAGGUCUUUGGAUUGUAAAUCCCUGUCACCGGGGAAGAAACGUUUCAAGUUAACAGCUUGAAACCUGACAUAACCCGGAGAGGAAGCAGUGGCUAACUCUGUGCCAGCAGCCGCGGUAAUACAGAGACUGCAAGCGUUAUUCGGAUUCACUGGGCGUAAAGGGUGCGCAGGCGGCCGUGUGUGUUAGGCGUGAAAGCCCGAGGCUCAACCUCGGAAUUGCACCUAAAACUACACGGCUAGAGUACUGGAGAGGGUAGCGGAAUUCACGGUGUAGCAGUGAAAUGCGUAGAUAUC